CUUUAGGGAUCUUCAAAACUUUAUGUUUAUGAUUUUGGAGAAUUAGGUGAACAGAAUUGCAGCAGACCAAUAAUUUGACUACCAAUUUUAACACAUUUGUUCAGACAGUUUUUGUUCUGAAUUCUAACAUUCCCAAAACACGUGACCCUGUCUGAUGUUAACAAUGGAUUUAAAAAAGACUUA